rnacentral:rRNA from 1 species
UACGUAGGUGGCAAGCGUUGUCCGGAUUUAUUGGGUUUAAAGGGUGCGUAGGCGGUUUUGUAAGUCAGUGGUGAAAUACUCUAGCUUAACUAGAGGGGUGCCAAUGAUACUGCGGAACUUGAGUACAGAUGAGGUAGGCGGAAUUGACGGUGUAGCGGUGAAAUGCAUAGAUAUCGGGAGGAACACCAGUGGCGAAGGCGGUUGCCUGGAGCUUUGCUGACGCUGAUGCGCGAAAGCGUGGGGAGCGAUCCGG